UACGUAGGGCGCAAGCGUUGUCCGGAAUUAUUGGGCGUAAAGGGCUCGUAGGCGGUUUGUCGCGUCGGGAGUGAAAUCCACUGGCUUAACUGGUGGCUUGCUUUCGAUACGGGCAGACUAGAGGUAGGCAGGGGAGAGCGGAAUUCCUGGUGUAGCGGUGAAAUGCGCAGAUAUCAGGAGGAACACCGGUGGCGAAGGCGGUUCUCUGGGCAUGACCUGACGCUGAGGAGCGAAAGUGUGGGGAGCGAACAGG
rnacentral:rRNA from 1 species